rnacentral:rRNA from 1 species
UCGGGAAUAUUGCGCAAUGGAGGAAACUCUGACGCAGUGACGCCGCGUGCAGGAAGAAGGUUUUCGGAUUGUAAACUGCUUUAGACAGGGAAGAAAAAAGACAGUACCUGUAGAAUAAGCUCCGGCUAACUACGUGCCAGCAGCCGCGGUAAUACGUAGGGAGCGAGCGUUAUCCGGAUUUACUGGGUGUAAAGGGAGCGCAGACGGCGUGGCAAGCCAGAUGUGAAAGGUGGGGGCUCAACCCCCAAGCUGCAUUUGGAACUGUCAAGCUAGAGUAUCGGAGAGGUAAGUGGAAUUCCUAGUGUAGCGGUGAAAUGCGUAGAUAUUAGGAGGAACACCAGUGGCGAAGGCGGCUUACUGGACGAUAACUGACGUUGAGGCUCGAAAGCGUGGGGAGCAAACAGGAUUAGAUACCCUGGUAGU